rnacentral:SRP_RNA from 1 species
GCGGGGAGGUAGCGGUGCCCUGUACCUGCAAUCCGCUCUAGCAGGGCCGAAUCCCUUCUCGAGGUUCGUUUACUUUAAGGCCUGCCUUAAGUAAGUGGUGUUGACGUUUGGGUCCUGCGCAAUGGGAAUUCAUGAACCAUGUCAGGUCCGGAAGGAAGCAGCAUUAAGUGAAACCUCUCAUGUGCCGCAGGGUUGCCUGGGCCGAGCUAACUGCUUAAGUAACGCUUAGGGU